ensembl:lncRNA
CGGAAACUGGACGCCACAGCCUCAGGAGUUGGAGGGGGUUCAGGCUAGGAGCACUCUUUCGCGCCCGGUUUGUUUACUGUGGGGAAGAAGUUUAGCAUCCGGUGAGAACAAGGAGGGAGGCCAGGAGGAGGAUGCAGCUUGGCCGGGGCGCCCGCUGCAGGAGCUCGCCGCCGCCUCAGCCUCGGCCCCCGGGGCCUCCGAGGGUCCGCCCGCCGCCCCUCGUGUCCGGAACCCAGGACCACCAAUCCAAGGAAGUACCAUCUGUGAUGGCCUCAGCCUUCCCUCACCAGCCACUAAUUAAGAAAAUGCCCUACAGGCCUUUAUGUAGAACCAGCAAACACAAUAACAAAGAUAAAACAAAAAUCUUACAUUGAAGUUGGCAAGACCAACCAACAGAAAGAAGAAAGCAUAAGAGUCAGAGACCUACUUGUUUGUAUACUCAAGAAAUCCAUGAAAACUCUAAACCAUGUAUGUGUAUGGAACAGAUCUGGUGCAGACCUGUCUUGGUCCUUUGCAUCAUGUUUCAGUUUCUGUGAGUUCAUAUCAGCUUUGCUCAUGUUGAUUUAAAGGGCCUUGUUUGAUUAUUAUCUGUCAUCCCUUCUGGCUGCUUCCUUUACUACCAGAUUCCAUGACUUCUGAGGGGAGGGAUUUGAUGGAGACAUCUAUUUAGGGAUGAGUGUUCAAAGGUCUCUUUCUCUGUGUAAUGUCUGGCUGUAGCUCUCUCUGGUUGUUCCCAUCUGCUGCAGGAGGAAGUUUCCCUAAACAAAGUACUGAUCUAUAAGUAUAACAGACAAUGAUUAGAAGUCACCUUAUCACUAGUUUUAAAAAAUUGGUUUUCAAUGUUUAUUUUAUGUGCAGUGGUGUUUUGCCUGCAUAUAUGUCUCUGUGAGGGUGUCAGAACCCCUGAAACUGGAGUUAAAGAUAGUUGUGAGCUGUUAUGUGGGUGUUGGGAAUGAAAUCAGG